UCUACGGGCGGCAGCAGUAGGGAAUUUUCGGCAAUGGGGGGAACCCUGACCGAGCAACGCCGCGUGAACGAAGAAGUUAUUCGUAAUGUAAAGUUCUUUUAACAGGGAAGAAAGAGAAAUUUGACGGUACCUGAAGAAUAAGCUCCGGCUAACUACGUGCCAGCAGCCGCGGUAAUACGUAGGGAGCGAGCGUUAUCCGGAAUUAUUGGGUUUAAAGGGAGCGUAGGCCGGUCUUUAAGCGUGCCGUGAAAUUUUGUGGCUCAACCAUGAGAGUGCGGCGCGAACUGGAGACCUUGAGUGCGCGGAAGGCAGGCGGAAUUCGUGGUGUAGCGGUGAAAUGCUUAGAUAUCACGAAGAACCCCGAUUGCGAAGGCAGCCUGCCGCAGCGUUACUGACGCUGAAGCUCGAAAGCGCGGGUAUCGAACAGGAUUAGAUACCCCAGUAGUC
rnacentral:rRNA from 1 species